rnacentral:rRNA from 1 species
AAAUAAUAUUAAUUUAAAUUUGAUUAAGUAUACUAAUAUAAAAUUGUAGUAAUGAGGGAAAUAUUAAUAAGGAUAAUUUAUAGGGUAUGAGUAAUGUGAGUGAAAAUUUUAAAUAGGUGAGAUAUAAAGUUAUAACAAAGAAGUAUUAAUUGUAUGUAUCUUGUGUAUCAGAGUUUAAUAAUUAAAAUUAUGGAUGAAUUAAUAUCUCGAAAGUUAAAGAGUGAAAAAUUUAUGGGAGUUAGUGUGGAAUUACUAUUUUAAAUAAAUUUUUGGUGAUGAAAAGUUAUUUCGAUUUAAUUAAUAUCUAGUUUUCAGAGAAAAGAGUUUAAUUAGGAGGAUAUUUAUUGGAAUUUUAGUAGUUGGGGCUAAAUUUGUUGAUUUAUCUAGUAAUUAUAUUAGGGAUAAGCUUAGUGUAUAAUACUUAAAUUGAAAAUUAUUUAAUAAGAAUAGGCAAGUAGGAUUUAAAUUUUUCAAUAAUGAAAGUUUAUAAUAAAAAAUUUAUUUAGAGGUUUAUUAUUUAUUAUUUAUAUAAAUUAAUUAUUUAUUUGAGUUAAUUUUAUAAUUUAAUUAAAAUUGUAAAUAUGUUAAUAUUAGUAUAUAGAAGUUUAGUAAAUAAAGGAAAAUAAAUUUAAUGAAUUCGGCAAUUUUUUACUAAUAAAAAAUUUGUAGGUAUUAUAUAUUUACCUGUUUAACAAAAACAUGGCUUCUUGACAGUUAAUUUUAAGUCCAAUCUGCCCACUGAAUAAGUUUAAAGGGCUGCAGUAAUUUGACUGUACUAAGGUAGCAUAAUCAGUAGUUUUUUAAUUGAGGACUGGAAUGAAAGAUUAGAUAAGAUAAAGGCUGUUCCAAUUUUAUUAGUUGAAUUUAUUUUUUUUGUUAAAAAACAAAGAUAUUUUAGUAGGACGAGAAGACCCUAUAGAUCUUAAUUAAUUUAGUAAUAGUAGAAAAAUAUAUUAAUAGAUUAAUUUAAUUGGGGUGAUUAUAAAAUUUAAUUAACUUUUAUAGAUUGUUGAACUGGAAUUUGAGAUUAGUUUGAUCUGAUUUUAUAGAUUAUUAGAUAAAGUUACCUUAGGGAUAACAGCGUAAUUAAAAUUUUAAGUUCUUAUUGAAAUUUUGGAUUGCGACCUCGAUGUUGGAUUAAAUUUAAGAUUAGGCGCAAAAGCUUGAUUUUUCAGUCUGUUCGACUGUUAAAAUUUUACAUGAUCUGAGUUCAGACCGGCGUGAGCCAGGUUGGUUUCUAUCCUUUAGGAUAUUUUAGGUUUUAGUACGAAAGGAUUAAGUUUAUUAAGUUGAGGGCUUACAAUAAUUGAUUGACUUUAAA